AGAGACAGAUGACUUUUUCAAGAUUCAUCCUUGGAGAUUAAUUGUGAACAUGUUGCAAAGAGUGGCUUGCAACAUUUUGAUUGUAAGGUACUUAAAGAAAUGUUCAGAAUACCUGAAUCUUACGCGAGCAUCUGGCAAAGAAAGUUUGGUAAAUGUAUCCUGACGCAGUGUCCAGCCGGAAAGUUACUCAGUCACGGACAUUGUAUCGUGUGGAAAGUAUCUCAUAGAAGUUCAAAUGCACUAUUCAAUGGUGAUGAUAACUUCCUUAAACCCCUGCUUCACUGCUUUUUCUUUUUAAGGAAAAAAGUCACUGGCUGGAAAUGUACCACAAUGUUAAUAACCAUUACAGAUUUACCACGGCGUUGCUGCUCAUCAAGGGACCACGUGUAUACACACACAUGCAUACACAUGAAGUCAUAUGUAUUAUAGGCAAAUAUCCAUUAAUUAAUUAAUUUAUUAUUUCCCCUCCCUCCUCUCCUCCAGUCCUUCUCCCCAGACUUCCCUCCCCCCGCCACUCCCUCCUCCUCCCUCUCUCUCCUCAGGCCUCCCAGGGGCGUAGCCCCUCGCAUACCAAGUUGCUCUAAGAUGAGGCACCUCCUCUCCUGUUUAGCCUACACAAGGAGGCCCACUUAGGGGAAAGGGAUCCAAAGGCAGGCGACAGAGACAGAGACAGCCCCUGCUCCCACUGCUAGGAGUCCCACAUGAAGACCAAGCUACACAGCUGUUACAUAUGUGCAGAGAGCCUCGCUGUCUCUGUGCAUGCUCCCUGGUUGACAGUUCAGUCUCCGUGAGUCCUUAUGAUUCUGUGGGGCUUCCUAUGGUGUCCUUGACCCCCCUGGCUCCUACCAUCCUUCCUCCAGGAGUCCCUAAGCCCUGCCUAAUGUUUGGCCGUGGGUCUCUGCAUCCAUUUCCGUCAGCUGCCGAUGAAGCCUCUCUGAUAAUGACCCUAGCCAGGCUCCUGUCAGCAGGUAUAUCACGGCAUCAUUCUCGUAAGCAGGGUCAGAGUUGGGCUCCCUCUCAGGGCAUGGGUCUUAAACUGGACCAACCAUGACCGGCCACUUCCUCCUCAAUUUCUGCUCCAGUACAUCUUGUGGGCAGGACAAAUUGUAGGUGGGAAGCUUUGUGUUGGGUUCGUGUUUCGACCCGUCCGCUGGAAGUCUUUCCUGGUUAUAGGAAACGGCUGAUUCAGGAUCCAUAUCCAGCACUCUUAGAAGCCUUAGCUAUGGUCACCGCUCACAGGUUCCUGGGAGUUUCCACUGCCCUGGGUUUCUAGCUCAUCCCAGAGAUGUCCUCCAGCCCUUGAUUCCAGUAGUCUCUCUCAGUACUCUCUCUGUCCCACCUGAUCCCUCCUCUUCCCGUCCCCACCCCUGUCCAGUCCCCCUCCCCCUCCCUGUCCACUCAUGUGCCUAUUCUGCUUCCCCCUCUCGGUGAGAUCCGUGUGUUCUCCCGUAAGCCCUCUUUGUUGCUUAGUUUCUUUGGGUCUGUGGUUUGUUGCAUGGUCACACUGAACCUCAUGACUAAUAUCCGCUUAUGAGUUCAUACCAUGUUUGUUUUUCAGGAUCUGAGUUACCUCACUCAGGAUGAUCUUGUCUAUUUCCAUCCAUUCGUCUGCAGAUUCCACGAUGUCAUUGCUUUUAACAGCUUGCAGGGGCAUCGCCUCAGCAGAGCUGCUUGUGGUGUUGAAGCGAGGAAGACGUAGUUGGCUCAUGAAAUUCUUAUGCUCGCCCGUCUCCAAAAGCAGCAGGCAAAUCUGAGCUCUGACCCACUUAAGAAACGGAAGCAGGCUGGCGGAGCGGGGAGUGAAUUCCUUCUGCCAGAGAGAUCAGAGGACUGGUGCUUACAGGAAGAACCAGGCACCCCAAGCUGGUUCAGCAAAGCCACUUGGUGGCCUGAAGAGCUGUGCCCAGAUGCCUGACUCAGAGGAAGAGAGAGCCAGUUGAGCCCCAGCGUCCGUCCGGGCUGCUUCCUGACCUAAGAAGACACACACACACACACACACACACACACACACACACACACACACACACACACGCAGCUCGGACACUCCCACUGCUGAGGCCAAAAACUCACAGCCUGGCCAGCCGCACCUUCCCCGCCCCAAAUCCUUCGGGAGGGACGAACAGCAGCUUCUUCUUCACACUGUAAGCCAAGCAUCAGAACAAAGGCAGCCUUGGCUGAUGCUUGGCGCUCGCUGCCCACCUCACUCAGCGGAAGAUUUAAGGAGACACAGAAGCAAUUUCAAAACGUUAAAUACUUUUUUUUUUCAAUCGAGUCACCUUCCAUUUUUGGCUUUUGACUCCACUCCCAGCUGUAUCUCAGGUUGGGGGAGGCAGGGCUUUUUGUUCUGUUUUGUUGGUUUUUGUGCUCCCCACCCCCAUCCUCCCGUGUGCUUUGAGUGGUUAAAGAAGCAUCCUCAAUACAUCACGGUACCGGCAGACUCAGGUCCUGAGGGUGACCCUACUGAUAUUAGCUUUUGGGAAACAGUGGCUGCGUGUGUAACACAGGGUCUAAGGGGGACCUGACACCUCAACGUCAGGACUCCUGUCUGUCCAAGGAUUUGGCUUGGUGAGCUUGGCAUUCGCUCACACGCUGUCUGGCGAUGUUCCCUGAGCGUCUGUGAGCGGAGGUGAGCUGUGAGCCUCCUGUGACCAGGUCAGGGGACACAGCCUAAGCACCCAGCGUGCUCCCACACAACCCUUACAGACCCCACUGCCACCCCUGAGAACGUGCCACCCCGAAUCCCUCUCCUUUUAAAACUUGAUAUUUUAUGAGAGACACUGCACACCAACGGACUGGCUCUGUGCUGUGACUGUCAAUCACAUUGCCUUGCUGGCCCUGCCUCUACCAGCCCUGUGAGCUCUUAUUGUCCCUUGGAAAGCAUUUCGAUACAGAACAAGGAAUAGCCGUUCUGUGUGGGUGCCCUUGCCCCCUGAGGACACUCUCCUCUCCAGAGCCACUGUUUUGCACUCCACCUACCCUGGGAAGAAGGACAGCCACAGCCCAUUUCGGGGCAGCUUCCCUCCCUCUCCCCACCUCCAUGAUCUUGGCUGCCAUUCCCAGCAGCCGCCUCCAUGGCAGGAGGCCACUGAGCUCCUACCCUGUCUAGACAGCCACUGUGCCAGCCAUUGCCGGGCUGACCCGGCUGUCUGUGAAUGCACGUGUACACGGCUGUUAAUUACCCCAGAAUGUCUGCCCCAGCUGCCGCUGGAGAAAUGUAGGUCAUCUGGGUACAGCGGUGACCACCAGGGAUCAGGGUCACCAUGGCCAGGGAUCUGGCCCACAGGGGCCAAGGCACUUACUUCACAGUAUUUUGCACAUUUUAAGCCUUAGGCAAGUGGCUUUUGGCAGCAAAGACUAGAACAGUGUGGCCGUGUGCAUCUUAAAUACAACCUUUCCUGUGGCCAUCUUUCACAGAGUCAGAGCCUUCUAUGAAGCAAUUUCCCUGGAACGGUCAGUUCCCCGCUGCAGCAGCCUUAGUGGGAAGGUCCUGGAUCUCACAGCAGCCUAAUGCAAUCUCGUCUCACGCUUACACGCCAAGGUUCAGAAAAGCUACACAGCGCCCCACGGUAACAAGUGACUUACGCUGGUCUCGUUGCCCCUGUGGUAAAGUCUACGUGUUAGUCCCCUGGUAUCUCCUCCAUGCUUGAUCCAAGUGUAUAGAUGGGAGAACUGAGGGUCCACGGGGGCCAAUCACAAAGCAAGUAUGAUUCACAUGAGUCGUGCUAAAAUCCGCACCGGGGGGUCAGGGUCUACCGCUGGUUUGAAUAAGUCAUCUGGACUUAGAAAAUAUGAACUAAGAACUGUGGCUUCAAAGAGACCCCCUCAGCAAGAAAGGGCGGCCAGGCCAAGAGGUGGCUCCAGGCAGUCUCUGAAAGCCAAAACUGCAGUUCCCAAGAUACUCAUCCGCCUGCAUCCUCCCUCUACACACCUUGCCCCAAGUUAAAGAGAGAAAAAUCAAGGGCUGGAGGGACAGUUCAUCAGGUAAACAGGCUUGCUGUGCAGGCCCUCGGGAUCCAUGUGGAGGAGAGGAGAACCAGCUCUGACCUCCACAUCACAGUACAGACGCCUGUACUUACACGUCACACGCUGAUGUUGACGAUGAUGAUGAGGAUGACCAUGAUAGAGCUGCUGCUGAUGAUUGGUGAUUGGUGGUUGGUGAUUGGUGAUCGAUGACAAUGAUGAUGAUGUUGAUGAUGAUGACGACGACGAUGAGGAUGACGAUGACGAUGAUAAAGACAGUGGUGACAAAACAAUAAAGUUUUAAAACUCAGGUGGAGGGCAUAACUUGGUGGGUAGAUUGUUACCUAACAUGUGAAGCCCUGGUUUGAACCCCAAUACCACACAAACUAGGGUGAUGGCCCCUGCCUGCAAUUCCAGCAGCUAAGAGGUAGAGGCAGGAGGAUCAGAAGUUCAAAGUCAUCCUUGACUUCAUAAUGAGUUGGAGGCCAAUCUGGGCUCCACAGGACCCUGCUGUAUAAACAGAAAGAAUCCCGUAGUGUGAUGGUUUGUCUAUGCUCGGCCCAGGGAGUGGCACUAUUACAAGGUGUGGCCCUGUUGGAGUAGGUGUGUCACUGUGAGUGUGGGUUUUAAGACCCUCAUCCUAGCUGCCUGGAAGUCAGUCUUCUCCUAGCAGCCUUCAGAUGAAGAUGUAGAACUCUCAGCUUAUCCUGCACCAUGCCUGCCCGGACGCUGCAAUGUUCCCACCUUGAUGAUAAUGGACUGAACCUCUGAACCUGUAAGCCAGCCCCAAUGAAAUGUUGCCUUUUAUAAGGCUUGUCUUGGUCAUGGUGUCUGUUCAUAGCAGUAAACCCUGACUGAGACUCCUAGCUAGCUACUUUGGAAGACUUGUUCUUGGAGCAUGAUUUUCAUCUGGACACCUGACAGCAAUGACGGUUUGUGAACUGGCUGUUUGCAGAAAACUUUGGGAAAACACAAGGUUGUGGCACUUCAGUCCUGAUUCCAAAUGGUGUCUGGGAGGGGCGGCGAGGAGGCUGGGUCAGGCUGCACCCCAACAGU